AACUCACGCUAAUACUGCAUACGCCCUACGGGGGAAAGCGGGGGCUCUUCGGACCUCGCGCUAUCAGAUGAGCCGCGUAGAUAGCUAGUUGGUAGGGUAAAGGCCUACCAAGGCGACGAUCUAUAGCUGGUCUGAGAGGACGAUCAGCCACACUGGGACUGAGACACGGCCCAGACUCCUACGGGAGGCAGCAGUGGGGAAUAUUGGACAAUGGGCGCAAGCCUGAUCCAGCAAUACCGCGUGUGUGAAGAAGGCCUUAGGGUUGUAAAGCACUUUCAAUGGGGAGGAAAACCUGCCGGUCAAUACCCGGUAGCUUGACAUUACCUUUAGAAGAAGCACCGGCUAACUCCGUGCCAGCAGCCGCGGUAAUACGGAGGGUGCGAGCGUUAAUCGGAAUUACUGGGCGUAAAGCGUGCGUAGGCGGUUCGUUAAGUCAGAUGUGAAAGCCCCGGGCUUAACCUGGGAACUGCAUUUGAAACUGGCGGACUAGAGUUGAGUAGAGGGGAGUGGAAUUUCAGGUGUAGCGGUGAAAUGCGUAGAUAUCUGAAGGAACACCAGUGGCGAAGGCGACUCCCUGGACUCAAACUGACACUGAGGUACGAAAGCGUGGGUAGCAAACAGGAUUAGAUACCCUGGUAGUCC
rnacentral:rRNA from 1 species